GACGAACGCUGGCGGCGUGCCUAACACAUGCAAGUCAACUUGACUGAAGGAGCAAUCUGACAGUAGAGUGGCGCAAGGGUGCGUAACGCGUAAGUAACUUGCCCAAGGUAAGGAAUAACGUCGAGAAAUCGGCGCUAAUACCUCAUAAUGCAGCGGAUCCGCAUGGAUAUGUUGUUAAAGGUUUACCGCCUUGGGAUAGGCUUGCGUCUGAUUAGCUAGUUGGUGUGGUAAACGGCACACCAAGGCUACGAUCAGUAACUGGUCUGAGAGGAUGAUCAGUCACACUGGAACUGAGACACGGUCCAGACUCUACGGGAGCAGCAGUGAGGAAUAUUGGGCAAUGCUCGAAAGAGUGAUCCAGCAAACGCCGCGUGGAGGAUGAAGG
rnacentral:rRNA from 1 species